CAGAAAGAAAAGUGGGAGGAAAACUAGGAUCAUGUGACUCUGUUGUAACUCAAACCAAUAUAUUUAAACCAGGAACAGCAUUCAUUCAAACCUUCUCAAACAACAGCAGAAAGAAUCACAAAAAUCGCUUGACAUGAAGAUGAGAGUUUUCUACAAGAGUCUGCUGUUUCUGCUGGUUUGGACAAAGACAGGAGGAGAAGUGAACAUAGCGACACAGGGCACAGCCGAU